rnacentral:rRNA from 1 species
GACGAACGCUGGCGGCGUGCUUAACACAUGCACGUCGAGCGGAGCGGCGAACGGGUGAGUAACGCGUGAGUAACUGCCCCCCUCUCUGGGAUAACAGUUGGAAACGGCUGCUAAUACCGGAUAGUGGGGGAUGACUCGCGUCCUAUCAGCUUGUUGGUGGGGUAGGGGCCUACCAAGGCCACGACGGGUAGCCGGCCUGAGAGGGAGACCGGCCACAGUGGGCGGAGAUACGGGCCAAACGCCUACGGGAGGCAGCAGUGGGGAAUAUGGCACAAUGGGGGAAACUGUGAGGCAGCAACGCCGCGUGCGGGAUGACGGGCUUAGGGUUGUAAACCGCUUGCAGCGAUGACGCGGUAGUGGCAGAAGAAGCACCGGCUAACUACGUGCCAGCAGCCGCGGUAAUUC